GACGAACGCUGGCGGCGUGCCUAAUACAUGCAAGUCGAACGCAUUUUCUUUCACCGUAGCUUGCUACACCGAAAGAAAAUGAGUGGCGAACGGGUGAGUAACACGUGGGUAACCUGCCCAUCAGCGGGGGAUAGCACUUGGAAACAGGUGCUAAUACCGCAUAAUUCCAUUUACCGCAUGGUAAAUGGAUGAAAGGCGCUUUUGCGUCACUGAUGGAUGGACCCGCGGUGCAUUAGCUAGUUGGUGGGGUAACGGCCUACCAAGGCUGCGAUGCAUAGCCGACCUGAGAGGGUGAUCGGCCACACUGGGACUGAGACACGGCCCAGACUCCUACGGGAGGCAGCAGUAGGGAAUCUUCGGCAAUGGACGCAAGUCUGACCGAGCAACGCCGCGUGAGUGAAGAAGGUUUUCGGAUUGUAAAACUCUGUUGUUAGAGAAGAACAAGGAUGAGAGUGGAAAGUUCAUCCCUUGACGGUAUCUAACCAGAAAGCCACGGCUAACUACGUG
rnacentral:rRNA from 1 species